AUUGAACGCUGGCGGAAUGCUUUACACAUGCAAGUCGAACGGCAGCACGGACUUCGGUCUGGUGGCGAGUGGCGAACGGGUGAGUAAUACAUCGGAACGUGCCCAGUCGUGGGGGAUAACGUAGCGAAAGCUACGCUAAUACCGCAUACGAUCUAAGGAUGAAAGCGGGGGAUCGCAAGACCUCGCGCGAUUGGAGCGGCCGAUGGCAGAUUAGGUAGUUGGUGGGGUAAAGGCCUACCAAGCCGACGAUCUGUAGCUGGUCUGAGAGGACGACCAGCCACACUGGGACUGAGACACGGCCCAGACUCCUACGGGAGGCAGCAGUGGGGAAUUUUGGACAAUGGGCGCAAGCCUGAUCCAGCCAUUCCGCGUGCAGGAUGAAGGCCCUCGGGUUGUAAACUGCUUUUGUACGGAACGAAAAGGCUCUGGUUAAUACCCGGGGCUCAUGACGGUACCGUAAGAAUAAGCACCGGCUAACUACGUGCCAGCCGCCGCCGUAA
rnacentral:rRNA from 1 species